AGCAGCUUGGCUCCAUGCAGAUUUCCAGCCUCUUAAGCCUCCUGCAGGUGUGUCUGCAGGGAAGACUUUUCAGGCUCCUUUGUGGGUUGCUGCACACAAGCCCAGCUCCCAUCGCAGGGGGAUGGACAGAGAGGCUGUGCUGAAGGCUGAGUUUCCCAGAGGAAGCAGUGGCUCAUUGGCAGCCUCUGCUGCAGGAAGGGAGGCGAUGCCAGGCACAGUCACUGGAGGUAAUUGCUGUGUCUCUGGGCCUGAGCCCUGCUGAGGCUUGAGCUGCCCUCUCUGCUGCUUGGCAGUGGGGGCACAGCCCGGACAAGAGCGGCACAGCCCAGAGGAAUUAUCCCGAGCAGGCUCAGGGCACUCGGGUACUGAGCAGU